UAGCUAGUUGGUGAGGUAAAGGCUUACCAAGGCGACGAUCUGUAGCGGGUCUGAGAGGAUGAUCCGCCACACUGGAACUGAGACACGGUCCAGACUCCUACGGGAGGCAGCAGUGGGGAAUUUUGGACAAUGGGGGCAACCCUGAUCCAGCCAUGCCGCGUGAGUGAAGAAGGCCUUCGGGUUGUAAAGCUCUUUCGGCCGGGAAGAAAUCGCAUGGGCCAAUACCCUGUGUGGAUGACGGUACCGGAAUAAGAAGCACCGGCUAACUGCGUGCCAGCAGCCGCGGUAAUACGUAGGGUGCGAGCGUUAAUCGGAAUUACUGGGCGUAAAGCGUGCGCAGGCGGUUUUGUAAGACAGGCGUGAAAUCCCCGGGCUUAACCUGGGAACUGCGUUUGUGACUGCAAGGCUAGAGUACGGCAGAGGGGGGUGGAAUUCCACGUGUAGCAGUGAAAUGCGUAGAGAUGUGGAGGAACACCAAUGGCGAAGGCAGCCCCCUGGGUCGAUACUGACGCUCAUGCACGAAAGCGUGGGUAGCAAACAGGAUUAGAUACCCUGGUAGUCCACGCCCUAAACUAUGUCAACUAGGUGUUGGGUGGGUAAAACCAUUUAGUACCGUAGCUAACGCGUGAAGUUGACCGCCUGGGGAGUACGGCCGCAAGGUUAAAACUCAAAGGAAUUGACGGGGACCCGCACAAGCGGUGGAUGAUGUGGAUUAAUUCGAUGCAACGCGAAAAACCUUACCUACCCUUGACAUGCCAGGAACUUGCCAGAGAUGGCUUGGUGCCCGAAAGGGAGCCUGGACACAGGUGCUGCAUGGCUGUCGUCAGCUCGUGUCGUGAGAUGUUGGGUUAAGUCCCGCAACGAGCGCAACCCUUGUCGUUAAUUGCCAUCAUUUAGUUGGGCACUUUAACGAGACUGCCGGUGACAAACCGGAGGAAGGUGGGGAUGACGUCAAGUCCUCAUGGCCCUUAUGGGUAGGGCUUCACACGUCAUACAAUGGUCGGUACAAAGGGUUGCCAAGCCGCGAGGCGGAGCCAAUCCCAGAAAGCCGAUCGUAGUCCGGAUUGCAGGCUGCAACUCGCCUGCAUGAAGUCGGAAUCGCUAGUAAUCGUGGAUCAGCAUGUCACGGUGAAUACGUUCCCGGGUCUUGUACACACCGCCCGUCACACCAUGGGAGCGGGUUCCGCCAGAAGUAGGUAGCCUAACCGCAAGGGGGGCGCUUACCACGGCGGGGUUCGUGACUGGGGUGAAGUCGGAACAAGGUAGCCGUAGGGGAACCUGCGGCUG
rnacentral:rRNA from 1 species